GUGAAAUUGUUGAAAGGGAAGCGCUUGCAACCAGACCUGCCUGCAGUUGCUCAUCCGGGCUUUUGCCCGGUGCACUCUUCUGCUGUCAGGCCAGCAUCAGUUCGGGCGGUCGGAUAAAGGCUUCGGGAAUGUAGCUCCUCUCGAGGAGUGUUAUAGCCCGUUGCGAAAUGCGGCCAGCCUGAACUGAGGUCCGCGCUUCGGCUAGGAUGCUGGCGUAAUGGUUGUAAGCGGCCCGUCUUGAAACACGGACCAAGGAGUCUAACAUUUGUGCGAGUGUUUGGGUGUCAAACCCGUACGCGUAAUGAAAGUGAACGGAGGCGGGAACCCCUCGGGGUGCACCGUCGACCGAUCCUGAUGUCUUCGGAUGGAUUUGAGUAAGAGCAUAGCUGUUGGGACCCGAAAGAUGGUGAACUAUGCCUGAAUAGGGUGAAGCCAGAGGAAACUCUGGUGGAGGCUCGCAGCGGUUCUGACGUGCAAAUCGAUCGUCAAAUUUGGGCAUAGGGGCGAAAGACUAAUCGAACUAUCUAGUAGCUGGUUCCUGCCGAAGUUUCCCUCAGGAUAGCAGUAACGUUUUCAGUUUUAUGAGGUAAAGCGAAUGAUUAGAGGCCUGGGGGUUGAAACAACCUUCACCUAUUCUCAAACUUUAAAUAUGUAAGAAGUCCUUGUUGCUUAGUUGAACGUGGACAUUUGAAUGUAUCGUUACUAGUGGGCCAUUUUUGGUAAGCAGAACUGGCGAUGCGGGAUGAACCGAAAGCGGAGUUAAGGUGCCGGAAUGCACGCUCAUCAGAC
rnacentral:rRNA from 1 species